rnacentral:lncRNA from 1 species
AUGGGCAUUCUUUUAGAUUUUUUUAUCAAUAGGUUUUAUUUUUAAAUAAAUUUUCUAAAAAGUGCUAUUUUGGGAAAGUUAUCAAUUUUGUAGAGAAAUAUUGUUAAUUUACGAUUAUGAUUGGGAAAUUAGGAUAACAAGAGUUUUUGCUGAUCGAUGGGCAUUCUUUUAGAAUUUUUGAUCAAUAUGUUGCAUUUUUAAAUAUAUUUUAUAAAAAUUAUUAUUUUUGGAUUGUCAUCAUUUUUGUAGGGAUAAAUAUUGUAGAUUUGAGAUUAUGAUUGAGAAAUUAGGAUAACAAGAGUUUUUGUUGAUCGGUGGGCAUUUUUUUAGAAUGUUUGAUCAAUAGGUUUAAUUUUAAAUUAAUUUUUAAAAAAUUGUUUUUUUGGGAGAAUCAUCAAUUCUGUAUAGAAAUAUUGUAGAUUUGAAAUUUUGAUUAAGCAAUUGAAAGAACAAGAGUUUUUGUUGUAGAUGGGCAUUUGAUAAGAAUUUUUGAAUACUAUUUUGUAUUUUUCAUAUAAAUAUUUCUGAAACUGCUAUUUUAAGAAAGUUAUCAUUUUGUACAGUAAUAUUGUCGAUUUGGGAUUGCGAUUGAGAAAUUAGAAUAACAAGAGUUUUUGUUGAUAGAUGGACAUUCUUUUAGAAUUUUUGAGCAAUAUGUUUCUUUUUUAAAGAAUUUUUGUAAAAACUGUUAUUUUCGGAAACUUAUCGUUUUUGUAGAGAAAUGUUGUAGAUUUGGGAUUGUGAUUGAGAAAUUAAGAUAACAAUAGUUUUUAUUGAUAGAUGGGCAUUGUUUUAGAAUUUUUAUGCAAUAGGUUGCAUUUUUUUAAGAAAUUUUCUAAAAAUUGCCAUUUUAGGAAAGUUAUUACUUUUGUAGAGAAAUAUUGUAGAUUUGGGAUUGUGAUUGAGAAAUUAGGAUAACAAGAGUCUUUGUUGAUAGAUGGAUAUUCUUUUAGAUUUUUUCAACAAAAGGUUGGGAAAUUAGGAUAACAUGAGUUUUUUGUUAAUAGAUGGGCAUUCUUUUAGAAUUUUUGAGCAAUAUGUUACAUUUUUAAAAGAAAUUUCCUAAAAACUGCUAUUUUUGGAAAGUUAUUAAUUUUGUACAGCAAUAUUGUAGAUUUGAAACUCUUGUUUAGAAAUUAGGAUAACAAGAGUUUUUGUUGAUAGAUGGGCAUUCUUUUAGAAUGUUUGAUCAAUAGGUUUAAUUUUAAAUAUUUUUUUUUUAAAAUUGAUACUUUGGGAAAAUUAUCAAUUCUGUAUUGAUUGUGAUUGGAAAAUUAGGAUAACAAGAGUUUUUUUUAUAGAUGGGCAUUCUUUUAGAAUUUUUGAGCAAUAUGUUGCAUCUUUUAAAUAAGUUUUCUAUAAACAUCUAUUUUAAGAAAAUUAUCAUUUUUGUAGAGAAAUAUUGUAGAUUUGAAAUUGUGAUUUAGAAAUUAGGAUAACAAGAACUUUUUUUUGAUAGAUGGGCAUUCUUUUAGAUUUUUUUAUCAAUAGGUUUUAUUUUUAAAUAAAUUUUCUAAAAAGUGCUAUUUUGGGAAAGUUAUCAAUUUUGUAGAGAAAUAUUGUUAAUUUACGAUUAUGAUUGGGAAAUUAGGAUAACAAGAGUUUUUGCUGAUCGAUGGGCAUUCUUUUAGAAUUUUUGAUCAAUAUGUUGCAUUUUUAAAUAUAUUUUAUAAAAAUUAUUAUUUUUGGAUUGUCAUCAUUUUUGUAGGGAUAAAUAUUGUAGAUUUGAGAUUAUGAUUGAGAAAUUAGGAUAACAAGAGUUUUUGUUGAUCGGUGGGCAUUUUUUUAGAAUGUUUGAUCAAUAGGUUUAAUUUUAAAUUAAUUUUUAAAAAAUUGUUUUUUUGGGAGAAUCAUCAAUUCUGUAUAGAAAUAUUGUAGAUUUGAAAUUUUGAUUAAGCAAUUGAAAGAACAAGAGUUUUUGUUGUAGAUGGGCAUUUGAUAAGAAUUUUUGAAUACUAUUUUGUAUUUUUCAUAUAAAUAUUUCUGAAACUGCUAUUUUAAGAAAGUUAUCAUUUUGUACAGUAAUAUUGUCGAUUUGGGAUUGCGAUUGAGAAAUUAGAAUAACAAGAGUUUUUGUUGAUAGAUGGACAUUCUUUUAGAAUUUUUGAGCAAUAUGUUUCUUUUUUAAAGAAUUUUUGUAAAAACUGUUAUUUUCGGAAACUUAUCGUUUUUGUAGAGAAAUGUUGUAGAUUUGGGAUUGUGAUUGAGAAAUUAAGAUAACAAUAGUUUUUAUUGAUAGAUGGGCAUUGUUUUAGAAUUUUUAUGCAAUAGGUUGCAUUUUUUUAAGAAAUUUUCUAAAAAUUGCCAUUUUAGGAAAGUUAUUACUUUUGUAGAGAAAUAUUGUAGAUUUGGGAUUGUGAUUGAGAAAUUAGGAUAACAAGAGUCUUUGUUGAUAGAUGGAUAUUCUUUUAGAUUUUUUCAACAAAAGGUUGGGAAAUUAGGAUAACAUGAGUUUUUUGUUAAUAGAUGGGCAUUCUUUUAGAAUUUUUGAGCAAUAUGUUACAUUUUUAAAAGAAAUUUCCUAAAAACUGCUAUUUUUGGAAAGUUAUUAAUUUUGUACAGCAAUAUUGUAGAUUUGAAACUCUUGUUUAGAAAUUAGGAUAACAAGAGUUUUUGUUGAUAGAUGGGCAUUCUUUUAGAAUGUUUGAUCAAUAGGUUUAAUUUUAAAUAUUUUUUUUUUAAAAUUGAUACUUUGGGAAAAUUAUCAAUUCUGUAUUGAAAUAUUGUAAAUUUGAAAUUGUGAUUAAACAAUUGAGAUAACAAGAGUUUUUGUUGAUAGAUGGGCAUUUGAUAAGAAUUUUUGAAUACUAUUUUGUAUUUCUCAAAUAAAUAUUUCUGAAACUGCUAUUUCAAGAAAGUUAUCAUUUUGUACAGAAAUAUUGUCGAUUUGGGAUUGUGAUUGAGAAUUAGGAUAGCAAGAGUUUUUUUUGAUGGAUGGGCAUUCUUUUAAAAGUUUUGAUGAAUAUGUUGCAUUUUUCAAAUAAGUUUCUUAAAAACUGCUAUUUUGGGAAUGUAAUCAUUUUUGUAGAGAAAUAUUGUAGAUUUGGGAUUGUGAUUGAGAAAUUACGAUAACAAGAGUUUUUGUUGAUAUAUGGACAUUCUUUUAGAAUUUUUGAGCAAUAGGUUGUAUUUUUUAAAAAAAAUUUCUAAAAGCUGCUAUUUUUGGAAAGUUAUUACUUUUGUGGAGAAAUAUUGUAAAAUAUUGUAGAUUUUAGAUUGUGAUUGAGAAAUUAGGAUAACAAGAGUUUUUGUUGAUAGAUGGAGAUUCUUUUAGAUUUUUUGAACAAUAGGUUGCAUCUUUUAAAUAAAUGUUCUAUAAACUUCUAUUUUAGGAAAAUUAUUAUUUUUGAAGGGAAAUAUUGUAGAUUUGGGAUUGUGAUUUAGAAAUUAGGAUAACAAGAGCUUUUUUGAUUGAUGAGCAUUAUUUUAGAAGUUUAGAUCAAUAGGUUUUAUUUUUAAAUAAAUUUUCUAAAAGGUGUUUUUUUGGGAAAGUUAUCAAUUUUGUAGAGAUAUAUUGUAGAUUUGCGAUUAUGAUUGAGAAAUUAGGAUAACAAGAGUUUUUGUUGAUCGAUGGGCAUUCUUUUAGAAUUUUUGAUCAAUAUGUUGCAUUUUUAAAUACAUUUUAUAUAAACUGCUAUUUUAGUAAAGUAAUCGUUUUUGUAGAGAAAUAUUGUCGAUUUGGGAUUGUGAUUGAAAAAUUAGGAUAACAAGAGUUUUUGUUGAUAGAUGGGCAUUCAUUUAGAAUUUUUGAGCAAUAGGUUGCAUCUUUUAGAUUUGGGAUUAUGAUUGAAAAAUUAUGAUAACAAGAAUUUUAGUUGAUAGAUAGGCAUUCUUUUAGAAUGUUUGAUCAAUAGGUUUAUUUUUAGGUAUAUUUUUUAAAAUUGCUUUUUUGGGAAAAUCAUCAAUUCUGUAUAGAAAUAAUGUAGAUUUGAAAUUGUGAUUAAGCAAUUAAUAUAACAAGAGUUUUUGUUGAUAGAUGGGCAUUUGAUAAGAAUUUUUGAAUACUAUUUUGUAUUUCUCAAAUAAAUAUUUCUGAAACUGCUAUUUUAAGAAAGUUAUCAUUUUGUACAGAAAUAUUGUCGAUUUGGGAUUGUGAUUGAGAAAUUUGAAUAACAAGAGAUUUUAUUGAUAGAUGAACAUUCUUUUAGAAUUUUUGAGCAAUAUGUUGUAUUUUUUAAGAAAUUUUGUAAAAACUGCUAUUUUUGGAAACUUAUCAUUUUUGUGGAGAAAUAUUUUAGAUUUGGGAUUGUGAUUGAGAAAUUAAGAUAACAAUAGUUUUUGUUGAUAGAUGGGAAUUUUUUUUAGAAUUUUUAAGCAAUAGGUUGCAUUUUAUAAAGAAAUUUUCUAAAAACUGCUAUUUUAGGAAAGUUAUUACUUUUGUAGAGAAAUAUUGUAGAUUUGGGAUUGUGAUUGAGAAAUUAAGAUAACAAUAGUUUUUGUUGAUAGAUGGGAAUUUUUUUUAGAAUUUUUAAGCAAUAGGUUGCAUUUUAUAAAGAAAUUUUCUAAAAACUGCUAUUUUAGGAAAGUUAUUACUUUUGUAGAGAAAUAUUGUAGAUUUGAGAUUGUGAUU